rnacentral:lncRNA from 1 species
CUAGUUUUAGACUGAGUUUGAGGCCUGUCUCAGCUUAAGAAAAAUCACUCUGUUGGGUGAUGCAUAGAUUUGGCAGUGUCUUAACCCUUGCUGAACUGAGGGAAAAACAGUGAAACUGAACUGUACUUAAAUUCUUCUCUUUUCAUAUGUGUGAAAAUGGUCAUUGGCUCUUUGAUCUUUCAUCUUCCUCUAGAAAGAAUAUAUAUCAAUUUGUGUAUUUUGCAUGACCAGGGUGAGGGGAAUCACAUAGGAUUAUGAAGCAGUUAAAUGGCCUUAAGAAAAGGAUCAUGCGAUUCUGGAGUGAGAGAGGAGGGUGAUGGCUCUAAGUGGUGAAUCUGAGGAAAGUAUAAAGAGGGCUCCAAAGCAGGAACAGUACAGAGGUCCUGACAGAGAGCCAUGAAAUGUCUUUAGCCAUGAAAUGUGCUUGAACCCCAAGCUCAAAGAGAAAAGGAUUUUCCUGCUUGCUCUAGGGAAGUUCAACCUUGGAUAAAUGGGGGAAAAUGUAAGGCUAAACUCAAGAUCUGGACUGGCCACGAGGGAGAGGCUUGCUCAUUAGAGUGAUUGGAAGGAAGUGAGAGGGUCUGAAAGACAAUCUUAAAGGAAGGUUAAUAAGAAGAACAUAUAAAUAUGAUGUUUGCCUGAAAUGUAAGCAUGUGUUUUGAACCUCUAAGAUUCCCUCCCAACUACAGCUGUGCUUUGUAAUUUUGUGUGUGAUGUAGGUCAUGAAAGAGUGAGAGUGGGAUGCUGUGGUACAUCAGUAGAGAAGAAGAAAUAAAUGCCUUUACUCCUCUAGAGAGGGUCUGUGAAGGAACAGCCUGCCCUGGUCAUCUAGGUAGAAUUGCAGAAAGUAACCCAGGGCAGCAGGGGCAGAAACCAACCAGGAAGUCUACUUUAGCCUCGCUCUGCAACUCCUGCUUUCCCCACUCCCCUCCCCCACGUUGUCCUAGCUACAAAAUAAUUCUGAAAAGUUAACUGUAUUACUUUGAUAUUCUUAAUAAAAAUCUCAUAGGUGGAAUAUAGUGUUCAGUCUCUCUCUCCUGCUUUGAUUAGUUUAAAAUUAUUAGGCCUUGGAGAAGCCCUUAUGAGUUUCACUUUCUAUUUCGUCUUUAAAAGAUGAUUUUGCUUUUGAUACUAUUAUGGCUUUUAUCU